rnacentral:misc_RNA from 1 species
GAACGCACCUUGCGCCCCUUGGCUAUUCCGAGGGGCAUGCCUGUUUGAGUAUCAUGAACACCUCAACUCUCAUGGUUUGCCAUGAUGAGCUUGGAUUUUGGGGGUUUUGCCGGCCUAUGGUCGGCUCCUCUCAAAUGAAUCAGCUUGCCAGUGUUUGGUGGCAUCGCGGGUGUGAUAACUAUCUACACUUGUGGUUUUCCACCAGAUAACCUUCAGUGAUGAAGGUUCGCUGGAGCUCACAAAUGUCUCUCCUCGGCGAGGACAGCUUUCUGAACGUUUGAUCUCAAAUCAGGUAGGACUACCCGCUGAACUUAAG